UAGGGAAUCUUCGGCAAUGGACGGAAGUCUGACCGAGCAACGCCGCGUGAGUGAAGAAGGUUUUCGGAUCGUAAAGCUCUUUUGUUAGAGAAGAACGUUGGUAGGAGUGGAAAAUCUACCAAGUGACGGUAACUAACCAGAAAGGGACGGCUAACUACGUGCCAGCAGCCGCGGUAAUACGUAGGUCCCGAGCGUUGUCCGGAUUUAUUGGGCGUAAAGCGAGCGCAGGCGGUUCUUUACGUCUGAAGUUAAAGGCAGUGGCUUAACCAUUGUACGCUUUGGAAACUGGAGGACUUGAGUGCAGAAGGGGGGAGUGGAAUUCCAUGUGUAGCGGUGAAAUGCGUAGAUAUAUGGAGGAACACCGGUGGCGAAAGCGGCUCUCUGGUCUGUAACUGACGCUGAGGCUCGAAAGCGUGGGGAGCAAACAGG
rnacentral:rRNA from 1 species